AUUGAACGCUGGCGGCAGGCCUAACACAUGCAAGUCGAACGGUAGCACAGAGAGCUUGCUCUCGGGUGACGAGUGGCGGACGGGUGAGUAACGUCUGGGAAACUGCCCGAUGGAGGGGGAUAACUACUGGAAACGGUAGCUAAUACCGCAUAACGUCGCAAGACCAAAGUGGGGGACCUUCGGGCCUCACACCAUCGGAUGUGCCCAGAUGGGAUUAGCUAGGAGGUGGGGUAAUGGCUCACCUAGGCGACGAUCCCUAGCUGGUCUGAGAGGAUGACCAGCCACACUGGAACUGAGACACGGCCCAGACUCCUACGGGAGGCAGCAGUGGGGAAUAUUGCACAAUGGGCGCAAGCCUGAUGCAGCCAUGCCGCGUGUAUGAAGAAGGCCUUCGGGUUGUAAAGUACUUUCAGCGGGGAGGAAGGCGGUGGAGUUAAUAACUUCACCGAUUGACGUUACCCGCAGAAGAAGCACCGGCUAACUCCGUGCCAGCAGCCGCCGUAA
rnacentral:rRNA from 1 species